CGCUUAAAAGCUAGCUUCCCCAAA
rnacentral:rRNA from 1 species